GUAUAGCUCAGUUGGCUAGAGCAUGGUGCUGAUAGUGCCAAGGUUGCAGGUUCGAUUCCCUUAUAGGAUAGCUGCA